GGGACUGUGGCUCAGUGGAAGAGCCUCUUCCUUGAAUGCAGGAGGUCCCAGGUUCGAUCCCUGGCAUCUCCA